UACGGAGGGUGCGAGCGUUGUCCGGAAUCAUUGGGCGUAAAGGGCGCGUAGGUGGCCACUUCAAGCGUGCGGUGAAAGUCGGGGGCUCAACCCCUGAUCGGCCGUGCGAACUGGGGGGCUGGAGCACUGUAGAGGCAGGCGGAAUUCCGGGUGCAGCGGUGGAAUGCGUAGAGAUCCGGAAGAACACCGGUGGCGAAGGCGGCCUGCUGGGCAGUUUUGCUGACACUGAGGCGCGACAGCGUGGGGAGCAAACAGG
rnacentral:rRNA from 1 species